CGUGAUCUCCUGCCUAGAGGGUGAAGGCCCAGCAGCUGACACUUGGAAGCUGAGUGGAGGAAGCAGACUAAAAUCCAACUCCAAAGCUCAAGAACCAUUGAAACUGUAAAGACAAAGGCAAUCUUGUAUCUCUCUGCAAGAAGACAGGCAAUUCCCAAAUUAACUCAGAUAUAAUGUAGGAAGACUUCUACUCAUCCUAGAGGUAAGGAAGUUUUUACACUUCACCCAGAGAGAUUGAAAAACACUAG
rnacentral:lncRNA from 1 species